GUAGUGUGUUUGUAGAGAGUGUGUUUUGUACCUCUCACAAUUCAGAUAGUGCCUUUCUUGGUUUAAAGGACACAAGGGGGUAAGAGACACUAAAGGGUAACAGGAAGCACUGAACGGGUAAGACAUUUAGCUGGUUGUGUUUUUUUUAUUUUUGUUUUUAAUUUCUAUUUCAAACAUAUGGGCACAACAUCUAGUCCAGACCAGUACGUCUUAUAUUCCAAAACAUAUGGUAAAUCUACAAACAGACAGAGCUUCUUCUUCCCACAGUGGAAAACCUUCCUGUGAACAUCUAUGUGUAUAAAACAACUCGCAGAAUUAUCUUUAAGACGUAGAAAAUGAUUGUUCAGCAUGUGAGUGAAGUAGUAAUGAAGCCGACAAGGCACAGCUGGAGCACAAAAUGAGUAACAGAACACAAUGAUUUUUGUGCAGAGCAGCAACUUCUCAAUCUGAAAGUCAGCAAAAACAGAAACAAGACACAGG